rnacentral:lncRNA from 1 species
AUAUAGUUGGGAUUCAAUAUUGUCAAUUGCUAAUAUAAACAUUGAAUUCUACCAACGAAGUGGCUUUCAGGAAUCCAUUUAUCUGGAAUCCAUCAAUAACUACCAAUAAAGUAUAAAAUAAUUAUCUAAGUAAAUGCAUAGUCUCCCUGUAAUCAAAAUACUAAAAACCAAAAUAUAAUCCAAAGAUAAAUUGCAUUUCAUAAAUUCUGCAAUCACGCUUAAACCAAAACCAUAUUAAACAGAAAAAGUUCAAAAGCCCUAAAAAAAA